rnacentral:rRNA from 1 species
AUGAACGCUGGCGGCGUGCUUCACACAUGCCAGUCGAACGGAAAGGCCCAAGCUUGCUUGGGUACUCGAGUGGCGAACGGGUGAGUAACACGUGGGUGAUCUGCCCUGCACUUCGGGAUAAGCCUGGGAAACUGGGUCUAAUACCGGAUAGGACGAUGGUUUGGAUGCCAUUGUGGAAAGUUUUUUCGGUGUGGGAUGAGCUCGCGGCCUAUCAGCUUGUUGGUGGGGUAAUGGCCUACCAAGGCGUCGACGGGUAGCCGGCCUGAGAGGGUGUACGGCCACAUUGGGACUGAGAUACGGCCCAGACUCCUACGGGAGGCAGCAGUGGGGAAUAUUGCACAAUGGGCGCAAGCCUGAUGCAGCGACGCCGCGUGGGGGAUGACGGCCUUCGGGUUGUAAACUCCUUUCGCUAGGGACGAAGCGUUUUUGUGACGGUACCUGGAGAAGAAGCACCGGCUAACUACGUG